CUAGCUGCUUGGCUUUGAGAACUGAAUUCCAUAGGCUUUAAAAUAAGAAAAAUGCCCUGUGGAUUCAGUUCUGUAGCUAGGCAGCAAAUUACCUGCAGC
ensembl:miRNA